AUUGAACGCUGGCGGCAGGCUUAACACAUGCAAGUCGAGCGGAGAUGAGGUGCUUGCACCUUAUCUUAGCGGCGGACGGGUGAGUAAUGCUUAGGAAUCUGCCUAUUAGUGGGGGACAACAUUCCGAAAGGAAUGCUAAUACCGCAUACGUCCUACGGGAGAAAGCAGGGGAUCUUCGGACCUUGCGCUAAUAGAUGAGCCUAAGUCGGAUUAGCUAGUUGGUGGGGUAAAGGCCUACCAAGGCGACGAUCUGUAGCGGGUCUGAGAGGAUGAUCCGCCACGCUGGGACUGAGACACGGCCCAGACUCCUACGGGAGGCAGCAGUAGGGAAUAUUGGACAAUGGGGGAAACCCUGAUCCAGCCAUGCCGCGUGUGUGAAGAAGGCCUUAUGGUUGUAAAGCACUUUAAGCGAGGAGGAGGCUACUGAGACUAAUACUCUUGGAUAGUGGACGUUACUCGCAGAAUAAGCACCGGCUAACUCUGUGCCAGCCGCCGCCGUAA
rnacentral:rRNA from 1 species